UAAAAAUCAACCCAACUCCUUUUCCUUUUCAUUCGGCCGAGAACCCCCCCCCCCCUUCUUUCUCUCUGGUUUUCCUUUUUCCACCUCUAUAUAUCUAUACAUCUAUAUACACAAUUGCCUCCAUUAAUUCAAGCCUUGAUUUGAGGUGUUUAGAGUAAGGUUUUGGAGGUGACCAAGAACGGAGGUUGGAGAGCUUGGAAAGAUCUUCCAUAUGGCACCCAUAUUGCUAGGGUUUGGAUAAUUUCAAAAUUAGGACUAGCUAAGGAAUUCGGAGGUGAGCCGGUGAAUGAUAUGCAUUCACGGACAUUGAUGUAGUUAGGAAUUCAUUUCAAUUGUAUCAAAGCCAUGUAAUUUUGGCCAUGGAGGCCUCAUUUUCUGUAUCUAAUUCUUUAGAAGUUGUACAAAAAUGAGAUUUGUAUAAUUCAAUCUUUAAACGAUGCAUUGGACUCGUAUUCAGUUUAAUUAAAAGCAUGGGAGUUUGAUUA